GAUGAACGCUGGCGGCGUGCCUAAUACAUGCAAGUCGAGCGAACAGACGAGGAGCUUGCUCCUCUGACGUUAGCGGCGGACGGGUGAGUAACACGUGGAUAACCUACCUAUAAGACUGGGAUAACUUCGGGAAACCGGAGCUAAUACCGGAUAACAUGUUGAACCGCAUGGUUCAACAGUGAAAGACGGUCUUGCUGCCACUUAUAGAUGGAUCCGCGCCGCAUUAGCUAGUUGGUAAGGUAACGGCUUACAAAGGCAACGAUGCGUAGCCGACCUGAGAGGGUGAUCGGCCACACUGGAACUGAGACACGGUCCAGACUCCUACGGGAGGCAGCAGUAGGGAAUCUUCCGCAAUGGGCGAAAGCCUGACGGAGCAACGCCGCGUGAGUGAAGAAGGUCUUCGGAUCGUAAAACUCUGUUAUUAGGGAAGAACAAAUGUGUAAGUAACUAUGCACGUCUUGACGGUACCUAAUCAGAAAGCCACGGCUAACUACGUG
rnacentral:rRNA from 1 species